UAAUACGUAAGGGGCGAGCGUUAUCCGGAUUUACUGGGCAUAAAGGGCGCGUAGGUGGUUUUUUAAGUCAGGUGUAAAAAGCAGCAGCUCAACUGCUGUUCGCACUUGAAACUGAAGAACUAGAGAUCAGGAGAGGAAAGCGGAACUCACAGUGUAGCGGUGAAAUGCGUAGAUAUUGUGAGGAACACCAGUUGCGAAAGCGGCUUUCUGGACUGAAUCUGACACUGAGGCGCGAAAGCGUGGGGAGCAAACAGG
rnacentral:rRNA from 1 species